GCCCUGGUAGUUAAGUGGCUAUAACACGACCCUGUCACGGUCGAAUCCCGGGUCCGAUUCCCGGUCAGGGCG
rnacentral:tRNA from 1 species